CCGGAGCUGUGAGGCUCUUCUCCUUUCCAGGGGGCAUCUGCAGGGCUGGCAAAACUGCAGUCCUUGAGUUUCAGAGGGACCACACCGUUGAAAUUUAUUACUUUAUAUUACCGAAAACUCAUGGCAAGUCUUCAAGUAUGGCUGGAACCAGGAGCUCAAAAAAUGUGGUCAGAACUCAGUCCCUCUUCUGUGCUGUUUU
rnacentral:lncRNA from 1 species